CCUACGGGAGGCAGCAGUGAGGAAUAUUGGUCAAUGGGCGCAAGCCUGAACCAGCCAAGUCGCGUGAGGGAUGACGGUCCUAUGGAUUGUAAACCUCUUUUGUCGGGGAGCAAGGCCCGCCACGUGUGGCGGGAAGGAGAGUACCCGAAGAAAAAGCAUCGGCUAACUCCGUGCCAGCAGCCGCGGUAAUACGGAGGAUGCGAGCGUUAUCCGGAUUUAUUGGGUUUAAAGGGUGCGCAGGCGGAGGUGCAAGUCAGCGGUAAAAUUGCGGGGCUCAACCCCGUACUGCCGUUGAAACUGCAUGCCUUGAGUGCGCGAGAAGUAUGCGGAAUGCGUGGUGUAGCGGUGAAAUGCAUAGAUAUCACGCAGAACUCCGAUUGCGAAGGCAGCAUACCGGCGCGCAACUGACGCUCAUGCACGAAAGCGUGGGUAUCGAACAGGAUUAGAUACCCGUGUAGUC
rnacentral:rRNA from 1 species